UACGGGGGGAGCAAGCGUUGUUCGGAUUUACUGGGCGUAAAGGGCGCGUAGGCGGCCACCGCAGGUCAGUUGUGAAAUCUCUGGGCUUAACCCAGAAAGGUCAACUGAUACUGCGGGGCUAGAGUGCAGAAGGGGGCAACUGGAAUUCUCGGUGUAGCGGUGAAAAUGCGUAGAUAUCGAGAGGAACACCUGCGGCGAAGGCGGGUUGCUGGGCUGACACUGACGCUGAAGCGCGAAAGCUAGGGGAGCGAACGGG
rnacentral:rRNA from 1 species